GACCGUGAACUGAGGGGAAAUGUCUCCCCCUUCAGAUCCGGCAGCGGAAUUUUCCGCUCAUUACCAUCACAAGGAG
rfam:Pelobacter acetylenicus strain DSM 3247 genome.